AAGUCGUAACAAGGUUUCCGUAGGUGAACCUGCGGAAGGAUCAUUAACACGUUAUCCACGUAUCAACCAAUCGAGAACUUGUUUUCACGUCUCCCUUUGCAAUUUGAAUGAAUUGGCUAACCAGUUUGAGGGAAUUGAUGUGGAUUGCAUUCAUUUGCAAUCGGCCUUCCUGGUAUACUUAUGAGCUAUUGAAAAAUAGUUUGUUAACAAUUGUAUCUUAUUGCUGAAAGGCCAAAUUUCUUUCGAUAUUUUGAUCUCCAUCAUGAUCAAUAAAGUAUUGAAGGAGAAAAACCUUAUAAAACUAUUUUCACCACCUUUUUGCUAGUUGACUUUUUAUAUGUGAUUGUUUUGCUUAAUUGCAAUGUAGUCGCACGUUUAAUUACUUGAACGUUAAAAAAUACAACUCUUAGCAAUGGAUAUCUUGGUUCUC
rnacentral:misc_RNA from 1 species